rnacentral:rRNA from 1 species
CACACCGUAAACGAUGAUUACUAGGUGUAGGCCGGCUGAACCGGUCUGUGCCGCAGUUAACACAAUAAGUAAUCCACCUGGGGAGUACGGCCGCAAGGUUGAAACUCAAAGGAAUUGACGGGGGCCCGCACAAGCAGUGGAGUAUGUGGUUUAAUUCGACGCAACGCGAAAAACCUUACCAGGUCUUGACAUCCUACUAACGAAGCAGAAAUGCAUUAGGUGCCCUUCGGGGAAAGUAGAGACAGGUGG